ACUUAAGGAACGAAGACUAAAAGCGCCACAUCGUGUGACAACGUCUUUGUGACCAACAUCCUGUUGG
rnacentral:sRNA from 1 species